ACUUUAACCCCCAAAAAAAAUCCUCCUCUAUUACGUCCUAUUAACUAUUGACUUUUCAAAACUCACCGAGUAUGAGAGAAGAGAAGAGAAUGGCGAUCAACAAAACCCUAGGUUCUCUACCGUCGGUGUAGCUGUCGUUUCAGUCGCCCGUCUGCCGCCGUUGCAGUCGCCGGUUCCGCCGCAGUUGCCGCCACAGUUGUCACAGGAAGCUCAUAAAUCGAGCCACCUCCUCUAUCAACAUUAUGGUUUCAGAUCUGGUUGCUCUGUUGGUACGAUUGCCAUUGCAGUUUUUGCCAUUGUUGUCACUGUAGUUUCUGCGGUCAAAAGCUUCUGAAUCGAGUGAUGUUGAUCUGCAUUUGACCUUACUUGAAGCCCUCCAAUUUCAUCUUGGUAUAAGAUUGUGAUGCAUCUCAUGUCUGUGUGCAUUCCAAGUCCUUCAACUUCUUCUUCUUCUGGAGCUGAAUAGUUGUUUAUUCUUAAGUAUCCAAGGCUGGUUGGUGGUUGGUGGCAGCAAUGCUAUACUAUGCGCUGGUUUGUAUCCCAAUGUGACAGCUAGUGAACACGGUAUUGUUGGAGCAAUUCUUAGCACCUUCAACCAGUCUUCUAAUACUGUGAAUAGUGGUCGUACAGUCUGGUUUGAUGGAAGAAGAGAAGGAAACUGGGAUCCAAGUAAAAGCAACUGUGGCACCCUUGAGUUAAAGGCAGCAAGGCAGUUCUCUUUUAAAGAACUUAAGAAAUGCACAGACAACUUUUCACUAGCUAAUGAUGUUGGAUCUGGGGGUUAUGGAAAGGUUUAUAAGGGAACUCUUCCCUCUAGACAACUGAUAGCCAUAAAACGAGCUCAAAAGGAAUCGAAGCAGGGCGGGUAGAAUUCAAAGCUGAGAUUGAACUCCUUUCAAGGGUUCACCACAAGAAUGUGGUAAGCCUAGUUGGAUUCUGCUUUGAAGAACAUUUUGCUGAUAGAGAAGCUUGAUGCAAAAGUUGCUGAUUUUGGCCUAUCCUAUCCAAACCAAUAUUAGAUUAUGGCAAAGAUCAUGUCACCACUCAAUUUAAAGAUCAUAGCACAAGAAUCAGGAGCUAACAGGCCUCCAAUGAGUGAUGUAGUGAAAGAGAUUGAAAUCAUAUUGCACUCAAUUGGUUUGGACCCUGCUGCUGAAUCUGGACCAUCAACUUCUUCAAGUUUUCAACAUAAUGAGAAAUUUCAGGUUCAUUAGGCAAUUAUCGGAUGGAAGAAAUGAGGAGAAAAGCAUGCAAAGAGGAGAAUGCAUGAAGAAACAAAGAUUUGGAAGGAACCAAUGGACGCGCACGCGUACAAGGCGCGCACGCGCAAAGUGGUCUCUCACAAGGACGCGCACGCGUACAUGCCGCUUCCGCGCGGAUGGGGAUUUGCCAAUCAACGCGCACGCGCACAUGGCGCGCACGCGCCAACACUCGUACUUGGCCCACUUAAUGGCAAAACGCUGGAGGCGAUUUCUGAGCUACCCAAGCCCAAAUCCAACUUGUUUCUGAGU